CCCCUCUCAGGGUCACACCUGGAGAGUUCCCAGUACUCUACCAGUCUCGACUGCAGGAGGGAGAAUCAGGCAGAGGCAUAUCCAUUCCAUUCCUUGCUUGGGCAGUGGCUGGUGAGUGGAAGGCAAUCUGCUAUAACU
rnacentral:snoRNA from 2 species